AGAUUUUCUAUCUAGAACCAGCAACAAACAACCGCUCAGACACUGCUCAUUCAUUUUUUCUGAAGGCAGUGGAAGACUAUGGCUGGCCUUCCAGAGGUGAUCAAGGCGUUGAAAAUGGGGCCCACCCUUUACGAUCUGAAGGAGGACUCUCCCCCAACCAGCUCGGGGUUUUGGGUCACAUAAAGAACCCUUGUGAUGUGAAUGAAGAUUUGCAGAACAUGGAUCUAUUUGGAACUGACUAGGAAAUGUUCGAUGAUGUGCAUGAGGAACCAUAUGGGGUUCAAGUCCAGGAAAUUGAGUGCCCUCUGA